rnacentral:misc_RNA from 1 species
UACUCCUCGUGAGCACGGACCAGCAGCGGUUGAGCCGGAGCCACAAGACCGCAGGGAAGGUGAGUCGAUGAGCACCUGUCGCACAUUGACGGCAUAUAGCCCUGCGGCACGGCGCUCCGGUCCGACCGAGGAAGGAGGGCAGCCCUUGCCCGUCGUGGUACACGCCGUAAGGCGGGGCCUCCCGACACAAGUGAACC